AUUUCAUGGGUUUUCCCACUCAUUUUGUUCCCUUCUUCAUUUGUAUCAUCAUCAAAUGAACCACCUUCAUCCAAUCCAAUUUCACAUAGUUUAGCAGGCUUUCCGAUGCGAGGUCGUGUUCUUCGAGCUUGGCUAACGCCUGUUCCUCUCUUCACACUCUUGCCAACAGGUCUCCCUCUUUUCCUUUUGGCAUCCCCCUUGGAUGAGACUGAUAUCCUAGGACAUUUAAAAGAAGUUUUGCCGUCUCCUUUUGUUUUGCUGUCUGGAAUCGAUGGAAGUUUCUGGUUUCCUAUGCCAUCAAAAUUCCAAGAGCCUUCUUCCACAUCUGGAUCAAAUUGGCACUCUUCAAUAUUCAACUCUUGCAAUCCACAGGGCUUCAAGCUAUAUGUGUCCUCUUGCAAUUUUUUCUGAGUCUCCAAGGAGUUCUCCAACCAUUGAUAUCCGAUCACAUGCAACCUCUUGUUCAUGAGUAGAUUUUUCUCCACACCUGUAAAACUCUUUAUAAGAGUAUCAAAAUCCACUUUGGAUCCUGGAACAGUCAGGACCACCAUAUGGGUAGCAUUAGCAAGAUUAUUGCUGACUUGGCCACCACCCAUAAGAACUUCAAGCUUCCAUCUCCUCAGUUUAAGUCCCAUAAUGGAUUCCCAAUCAGGUGUUCUUAAAGAAAUAGUGAAUUCACCACAAAGUAAUUAAUUAUCCAUAAAAUGAUUAAAACCACAAAAAGUUGGUUCAUUCAAAGGAUAUAGAAUAUUAAUCUGAAGCCAUGAUAGAUAGGAGACCUUACAGAGACAGUGUUGAAAGGUAGAAGUACAUAGAGCAGCCAUGAAAGCGAGACCAUUUAUCCUUUGGACAGUACUUUCUCUUAAAAUAUUCAAUUCUGUUGGCAUCUUCUGAAGUAUUUAUGCUGUCUAGAAGCUGGAAAAAUGAAAUGGUAUAACUUCAAUUUCUUGCAUUUGCCCUCAAAAUUUGCUGUGUGCAUCAUCCAAAUUCCAAUAUACUAAAGAAUCAGUGCUUCCUGUUUGAUAUCUGCAAGAUCUACCUCCCAGUAGUAAGAAUCAGAAAAUUCAUCAAUUUCUUCCUGUAACUUCUUCUUUGAAGAGUCAGAAAGGAAGAGGAAGUGCUUUGGCUGUAAAGGAAGGAGCUUCUUUUGUGAACAACAAUCCAAUACCCAAGAGCAAUGAAUAAUAUCUCCAUGACGUUUUCCUGCCUGAUAUUUAAUCCCCUUGCUUUCAGCUGCUACACAGUGAGUAACUGAUUUAUUUAAAUUCAUUGAGAAAGUUCCCCCAUUCUCAGCAACCAUUUUGUGCAAGUACUCGAGAGAAUAGGUAGGAGGCACAUUAAUAAAGUAGAACAUCAUUUUUGAAAAUAUUAAGGUCUCCUCCUUCACAUCAGAGACAUCCGUCUCCAUAAAAUGAGAUGGAACAACAGAUGCAUUCUUUCUUCCACCCCUUUUAGAGGAUUUCAUUCUUGUUUGUUUGCUGUCUUGCAAGACUCCAGAUUCUUUCCCCUUUUGAGUGGUACCAUUACUUGAAUGCACUAGUUCUACAAAUGACUGCACAUCAAGACAUUCAUGCCAGGGUUUGUCAUAUCUAACUCUGUCAAUACGUGGAAAUCUCAGGCUAUAUGGUGCAGCAAAUACCUCAGAACUUAUAGUCCGAAUAUCACUGGUAAUAGAUAAUAUGAUUGAUUUCUCAGGGCUCUCAAUCCACACAUCUGGUCUCUCUUUUGAAUUAUUUGUAACAUGGUAAAAACUUGGUGGUCCUUUCUUUGGGUAUUCAUAUUUCCUAAAAUAAGGCUUCAAUUUAGUUACAACAGCAGCUAGCUCAUCAUCUGAUAGUCCAGUGCCCACUCUACAAAAGGAGAUGAAUCGCCUUGGGUAUGUAUUUGGGGCAGGAAGCUCAGCAAGGCCAACCAAGAAUUGAGCCACCUCUCCUCCAUGACGUCCAGAGCCAUAGUACCCUCCUAUGAUAAGAACAUCCAAGUCAGAGGCAGCCUGUAUGUACUCGGGCUUCAUUUUCAACCACUUUCCACUUCGAUCACUCGGUUCCCAUUUCGAUCCAAGGUCUUUAAUUAUGAUCCCUUCAUCUCUGUUUUUAACAGUUUCCUCGAAAAAUCUCUCAACAUCAUUCACAUUAUAAGCAAUGAGCGAACAAGGUGGUUCCCCAGGAAGACGAUGAUCAUUGAGACCCCCAUCAGGUACAAGAAUCUCUAAACGACCCUUCAAAGGCCUCACAAAUUUUCGGAGCAGAUCAUGUCUUUCCCUUAAGCUUUGGUGAAUAACACUGGUAUCCCCAACAUAAAGGAUAUCAAAAGCAACAUAGCACAACUGUCUAUCACUGUCAAGUCCAUCUUUUGCUGCCUUUGCUAUUUCCUGAUUUGAACCAAACUCAGCAAAUCGAUUCAAAGAAGAAUCCCAAACCAACAUUUCACCAUCAAGUAUACACCUAUCUACCAAAACAUUUUGAAUAAUAAGGUCUGACAUUCCAUGUCCAUAUUCAGAGUGAUCAAGGAAGUUCCUUGAAAAGUAGUGUACCUCUGGCCCAUUCUUAUGUAUUUGGAUGCGGUCACCAUCAAAUUUACAUUCCAAAACCACAUCCUUCCCAUGAAGCUUUUUCCACGCAGAAUGUGCAUCACUAACUCUCAUAGCUAGUUGUGGGCGCACAGCUUUCCCAACCUCAAUAUCCUGGCGUUUGUGCCUUUGACUUCGAUCCUUCAACUUUUCACAGACCAAUUUUAAGUCACACGUAACAUUGAACAAGUCUUCCGCAUCAGGAUGAAAUUCAUGAAAAAUGCUUUUUUCACUAAUUCCCAAUUUCAAAUCUUUGAGAAUUAUCAUUAUAAUCCACUUCAUUUCCUGAGCAUUUGUCUUCUUAAUCAGUGUGGAAAGAACUGAAGUUUUCUCUGCUCUGUUUUCACUCAAAGCCAAGCUAUCAAGCAAGUCAUUCAGUUCCUUUAUUGUUAGCCCACCUGAUGACAUUCCUUGCCUAGAUUGGAGGACCUCGAAGGCGACGAGAGAGAAAUUGCCGGCAUUAACGCCGGUCUUGGCGCCUCCUUUACGCCAAUUAAAGAGGCGAAGAGCGUCGGGGGACUCCCUGGACAUGGCGAGUGCGUCGACGAGGCAGGUGGCGAGCACCGACUCCUUGAGUCCAUAAGAGCCCCUCUCUCGGUCAAGACUCGGAAGUAUCAAUCGAAUCGCGGAGAAGUAGUCGUCAGGCUUGCAGAAAGUGUCGAGAAACUUGCGAAACUUUGAGCGUUUCUUGGUGGGGUAUUUGGUCUUCUGAAUCCACUCGAAGAGACUCACCAUCACACUGAACUUGGUUUCAUCCGUCAUUUUUUCCGAUGCUUUGCACUGUUUUCAAUUGCUCUGCUCUUCUUCGCUGAAUUUAAAUACCGCGAGCAGUAGACCGCCAGAGCCAAAUGCAAAGCGGUUAGCGUACAGAGAAAGACAAUUCUUU
rnacentral:misc_RNA from 1 species